rnacentral:misc_RNA from 1 species
GAUGUCGCGUGCACGGGUCAGUGCGCAUCGCGCUAUCCGAAGUGAAGAAAACGAAGCUGGAGAGAAGCAUUCUCCUCCACGUAUUCUAUACGCGCACAAUCAACUCCGCUUUAUCCAGCGGAGCAACGUGCUGGCGCUUUUCAGCGAGUGAGGGGCCAUCAGACGUCAAACGAGAGUCAUGUGAACUCUCUUAAAAGGACCACAGGACUCGUAAUUCGUGCAUUGCUGCGCUGUUUUCUCUCUCUUUCUGCAUCGAAUCGCGUGAGGAGCAGCGCAGAAGCAGCCGUGUCGCUUUUGUUUUCUCGACGGCGGGAGCUACCUCGGCAGAGGCCAGCGUCCCGAGAACUUUAUUGUUGAAUGCGUGUGGCAACUUGUGAGGGCGGCGACGCCUUGUUUACGCGUUAUAGCGCGCCACCUCUUCCACGUGCAGGCCGGACUGCCCCCUCCCUCCCCUCAUUGACUGCAGUGUGCUGCAUGCUGUACUGCAGCAACAGCAGGUGAAGGGCUCGGCACUGCGGUCUACAUACAAGCGCGCACAAACACACCCGCACGACCUCCCGAGUCUUCUGUCGGUGAUCACGUCAUAAUGCCCGGCAGCGUCUCCUCGCCGAGGGGCUCGAGGACAAGUGGCGAUGUUCCAGCAAACGUCUCGCGUCGGUCAGCGUCCCUGACGUCGAGAUCAUCAUCGGUGCAUGGGCCACACUUGAGCUGCAGUGGGCGAUACAGGAAUGGCAGCUCUGAAUCAUCUGCGGCCCGCCGCCGGCUUCGGCGAACACGCUGCAGCUUGAAGAGAUCCUAUACCGCACAUGCCUGCCGCUUCUCUCCUUAUCGGCCCCCCUCAGCCGCCAUGUUGGACCCCUUCCCCAAUGCGAGCAUCAAUUCGCUCUGCGUUGUGGGGCUCUCAACGCUUUUGACGGUGCACCGUACCGGCGUUCGACUUUAUCGGCAGCGACAGCUUCCUGCUCCAGCGCCGCCCUCGACAUUGAACAUGCUUGCAAGCCGUCCUUCCAGCAACGCUGCCGUGCCCAGCGCAUCGCCUGCUGCGGUGCCGCACGGCGUCUGCGAGGCGACAGGCGUGUUCGAGCUGAUCGAAACGCGCCAUGAGUUCCAGGUUCGCGAGUCGUACCUGUGCGCGGCAAUGCAGCCGGUCGUUGUCAACGGCUCUCUCUUCCUCUCCAAGUGGAGUCGCUACUUCUGCGUCGCGUCCGGCAGCGACCGCAUCGUGCACGGCGUGUCCGUCAUGAGCAGUGGAGCGCACUUCUGCCUGAACCACACGCAGCACCAGACGAGCAAGGUAGUGUGCAUGCAGUGCACGCAGCUUGCUCUCGAGCCGUGCCACCCGCUCUCCCUGACACCCGCCGUGGUGAGCGUCGACGAGGUGGGCGUGGUGGUGCUCUUCGACAUUGAGAGGGAGGUGGCGUCCGUCCUGGAGCAGGCGCCGCUGUGGUAUCGGCAGACCGAUGCGCGUCCGAGAGAAAAGGGAGCGGCUGCAGACCCCAGCCACGUCACAAAUUCCACCAGGGAUAGCGGCGGGCAUGCCGGCAGCGGCCUCCACCAGGCGCCUCUGCAGCAGCAGCACCUCACCCCGGAAGAGGAGGAUCAUGUCCUGAACACGAUAGAGAAGGCAGCCAUGUCAGAGCGCGUCGUCUACCACCUCGAGCACGGCGUCGCCACGCGCGUCGCUCUCGUCGGACCGUGUGUGGAGCUGUGCAACCGCUGUCACAACGCCUUUUCGCGGUCGAUGUCGUCAUCACGGGGGUACAAGCUGGUGAGCUUGUAUCUCUGCUCGCGUGCACGAGACGUGCCCGCCGAUGCGACGCCACCGGAGCAUUUAGGCGACGGCGAAGGUGGCGGGGCGGCCGAACUCAACGUAGUUCUUCUCAGGGUCCUGUGGGGUCCUCGCCGCGCCUUUGUGCUGGAGGAGGUGCACCUCCUGCACGAGGUGGCACCGACGGACGUGUGCGAUGUCGGCAUCGCCAUGAACUCCCCUCCAUACGAGGUGGGCAUGCCCAUGACGCUCUUGCUGGCGAGACCCGCGCUGGAGCUGUGGAAGUUGCGCGGGUGCACGGGAGACCUUAUCGAGACAUGUCGGGUUUACGCCGCCAACAGCGACGGCCCCCGCUGUGGUUCUUGCCGUGACGCCUCGGAAUGUUUCCUUCAGUGGGUUCCCCUCGGCCGCCACCGAUUAAUAGUCGAGAAAGCCACAGAGAGCGAGGAGGAGAAUUCUUGGUCCUGCACGGUGGCAAUGACGAACAAUGACACAGUGCUGCUGCUUGGCAGCGCGCCGAUGCCUGUGAAUCGCGAUGCGCUGGGGAAGACGGCACUAGUUGCCGCAUCUCUCGUCGGUGAUCAAGGCAUUAGCACAACGAGGAAAGAGCUGGCAGCGGAACCGUUCAAGGACACGGAUCUGGAGGCCUGGCUGGAUGAUAUCAGCGUCCCUGCUUCGCGGUCGUCGUCGUUGCCGGCGGCAGAGAGCAGCUUAACGGCCCCUGCAGCCGCAAACUGUACUGGGCCACCAGCCGCGGAAAGUACGGCCACGGACGACGAUGGCGACAACGACGGCGUCUCAGCUGCCUGUCAUGCCGUUACUUUUCCGUACACAGUGCUGAUGGAGCUGUACGCCCCUCAGAGGUCCUACAGCAGCCGCACGCGAGAGAGCGCGUCUGCCGUCUCGACAGUGUUGCUGUCUGUGAUGCCAGACUGGACGGCAAAUCGCCUGCUGCUCUUCAUGGAGGACCAGGAGACGCUGCUGAGCGUGCCGCUACCAUUUCUGGAACGAGUGGGUACCCUCACCGACGCCAAGCAGCACGAGGCAGACGGUCGAGAAGGGACUGGCGUUGCUGCGGGGCCUUCUAUCCCUACGAGCGGAGUCGAUGAUUUACUGCCCUCGACAUCGACUGCCCAAAACCCUCACGUCGUAUCGCAGGAGACUCAACCAGGCCGCAUGAUACAGUAUUUCAAGAGUGCCUCGACGCAUCUCUGGGGCCCAUCCGCACCUUCACACUUUUUUCACUUGGACGCCUCGGGCGGAGAGGUCACCAGAGCCCCACCAGUGCUUAGUGCACCACCGACGGAGGCGCAUACUUCUCCAGCAGACGACCGCUCAGCGGCACAGUUCUCAGACGCUGCGGCGGUGUCAUCAUCCGCUACCGCCGCAGCCGGCAGCCGCGAGCCUUACCGCUUCUUUAGUUUAACACGCCCGCUGAUGGCCGCCUUCUUUCAUCUGUCGGGCGAGCACGAAGAGCCAGCGUCGCUGGCCGUCGUCGAGGCGCCACUCAAGGACCCAGUGCCGAGUGUGACGGGCGACGCGAAAGCUCCUGGCAUCGCACUGUCUAUGCCGCCGAUACAGCAGGCCGGCAAUGGUGUCAUCGGCUCUCCUCCUGCGUGCCCCUCGCCUCUGACUGUCUCUGCUGAUGGUGAACGCAGCGGCACUCAGCACCGCUGCCGCCGCGGCUCCUCGUCGGAGAGCAGCAGAGCCGGGAGCUCACGCUACCGCCGCACACGCAAGCCGCAACGCAUAGGCAACGGCGCACCUGCGAGCUCUGCGGAAGCCGCGCACACCGUCAUCAUCGAAGAAGGCGCCGCGGCGCGGGCGUCAUACAUAUCAGCGCAGAUAGCGCUUUUGAAGGAAGAGCCCAAGGCGCAGAGAGGCAGUCGCACCUCAGAAACUGGGGUCAUUGCUGACGAGGACCACGGCGCACAACACGAGGCCGCCACGACCGUGUCACAGUGGCAGUAUGCGCUGCGCCGCGUCGCCGAAGUGGAGGAGCCGCUGGAACGCAACGCGUUGCUUUACGCAUGGAAGGAUGGGCACAAUGACCUCUACAUCCACUUCUCGGUAGAGCUGGACGAGCUGCGGCAGCGGGAGGCGGCCGACGAGGAGGACGGCCACGCAGUCCCUCUUUCACGAAGGGGCGAGACUGGUUCCAUCUCGCCUGAUGCGUCGAGGCACAGCCGCGGGACAGCCAGGCCACGCUUGACCCUCUGCCGACCAGCAGACGUGGAGGACGGCAUUCACUCAAUGGGAUUUCUCUCGCAGUACAACGCUGUCGUGCACAGGCGCGCCGCAACAGCGAGCUACGGCAACUGUUUCGACUUCAGCUCGUACUUUGUCACCCUACAAGUGCCGCAGCACGUGCUAGACGUGCAGGAGCGAGACAAAUACCGAUUGGAGCUGGAAGACCUGCGCCUGCAGCAGGCCAGGGACUUGGCGAGCCUCCACCCCUACGAUAUGGUGACCAUCUUCCAGAACGAAGAGCGGGUGUCUGCCAAGGAUGCAGCAUGGCGGCUACACGCCACCUUCCCCUACGACGAUGCGCAAGACGGGCAUGCCGUCGACCUGCAGCAGCUCAACCGCACUGCCGUAAGAGACCCCGCUGCGGCCGCGGCGUCGGAGUGGCGGUGGGCCGAUGCUUCGGAGGCGAGGGCGUGGUCCAAAGAACACGAUUUAGCGCGAAGCUCUACAAACCGUGUCAGGAGUCUCGUGAAGGAUCUGAAGGACUGGGAAGUAGGGCCAUGGGCCUACGCCACGCGCUGGCCGUCCAGAGAGGAAGAGCUGCGAGGCGACGAUGGCUUCAUCUGGAGCGCUUCAGAGGCCCCUGAGCACACGUGUCGUCGUCGCCGACUUAGCCGCCUUCGUGUCAGCAUUGCGGAGCUGAAGCGCCAGACUGAGCUCAUGGCGUCUCAUCAGCGAGAGCUGGAGGAGCUGCGAGAGGCGCUGGGGUUGUAGUCAGGAGGCGACGAACAACAAAAGGGGCUGCGGGAACUACUGAUUCCGUGGAGACAGCCGGCCCUCUAACGCACGCGUGUGCAAAUGGGGGAUUGGGGGGCUGCGUGGGCUCAUCGAACGGAUGUGUCCCCGUCUCACUGACUCCAUCGCUUUUUGUUCUCUUCCUGCCAAUCUUUGCCGUCGUCUUCUCCUAGUGUCUCUUUCUCUCCCCUGCCUCUGUGUGUCGUGUGCGUUCCUCUGCACGUGCUCUUUAACGAGCCACUGUUGUUGUUUUGCCUCUCCUAUCAUCCUCUUUUUUC